UUUUGGAGGAUAAUCGGCGUGAGAAUGGAGGAGGAUACUCCGGUGGUGGUAGAGGUUCAUUAGUCCAAAAGUCCUGCGCCAAAAGAAUAUUAUAUCUGGUGGUAGCUAUGGUCGUGGUCGAGCAGAACAUGACAAUCGUGGAGAACCUUUCCCGAUGGAGUUUUCAGUUCCUAUGUGAGGAUGAGCUUUGGAGCUUUUUCUGGCUGUGAUAAAAUCAGGAACUCUUUAAGAGGUAUACUGAAGCAUAAUUACUCGUAAUGAAAUAGUCGAAGAAUAAAAAUUGUAAAAACUCAGGAUGUAAUAGUAUUAAAAGGAAAUAAAAAAAUAAUUUCAAAAUAUAAAGAUAAAAAUAAAAUAAAAUAAAUAAUAGGUGUUUAUAAAGAAAUUGGGGCACAUGGCCGUGGGGCAUGUCCGUGUGCUCUAAGCUCAGCCCAUGCGUUUCGUAAUUUUAGAAAUUAGGCGCAUUGGUGUACACGGCCAUGUUACACGGCCGUGUCGAUCUCCGUUCACUUCUCCUACGCCCGUGUAUGCAAGGGCACGCCCGUGUUAAAUUGACAGGUUUACCCACGGUUUCAAAACAAGGGCGUGCUGAAUGCUCAUAUUAUUUUGGCAGUUUCGCCUACGGCCAUGUCGCACGACCUUGGCUGCUUAUCGCAUCCCGUGUUGGGAAAGAAAUUUUUGCCUGUUUUCACACGACCAUAUCGCACGGCCGUGUUGCAUCCCGUGGUAUGUGCACGGCCUACGGCACGCCUGUGUGCCUAGCCGUGUGGUUCUGAAAAGCCUGUGUUCAAUAAUUUGGUUAGUAUGUUAGAUUUUAAAGACUAAAAUUUAAAGAAAGUAAUAUUGUUAGUGCUCAGGUUACCUCCCGAGAAGCGCUUAUUUAUAGUCUAAGCUCGACUUACCUCUCUAGUGUGUGAUCAUGGAGGAUCGAGGAGUUUACACUCCUCAUCCCUGCUAUAAAUUUUAUCAACAUAAGGUUUAAGACGAGUACUAUUUACCUUGAACGUGCUGAAUUUAGGGUGAUUUACCUCGACUGUACCAUAUGGAAAAAUGCUAGUUACCAUAAGAGGGGUUUUUUCAUUUGGUUCAGAAGUGGCGAUUCGAGGAACUGCUGCAUCUAGUAGUACUUUGUCUCCAACUUGAAGUUGAUUUGGUGAGGCAUUGAGCUCAUUCUGAUGUAGUUUUGGUUUAUCAUGUUUUCUCGAUUUAAAUGUCAAUCAUUCAUCUAACUGCUCUAUUCAUAACCUUCGUUCUUCAUAGGUAGAUUCUUUGUUGUGGAUUGAACAUGGUUGAUGUGUGUCCUUCGAACUUAUUUCCUGCAAAACAGGUUGCACUGUAUGAUCAGUCUUAGUAGAACAAUUUGUACAAUCACCUUCAAUUUUUGAUGUGUUGUUCGGGUUGCGAGCUUGAAGGUUGAUUGUUUUGUCUCCUACACAAAGUGUGAGUUCACCUGUGCGAACGUCAAUAAUUGUUCUAGCAGUUGCGAAAAAGGGCUUUCCCAAAAUUAAAGGAACAUUACUUUCCUCUUCUAUGUCUAAAACUACAAAAUCAACUGGAAUAAAUUUGUUAGUUUUAACGAGUACGUCUUUAAUAAUAUCCCUAGGAAAUCUGACAGUUUUAUCUGCUAAUUGAAUGCUCAUCCUAGUUUGUUUGGGUUUCCUAGACCUAGUUGCUUAAACAAUUUGUAAGGCAUAACAUUGAUACUAGCCUCUAGAUCAGCCAACGCAUUAUUAACAUCUAAACUACCAAUUAAACAAGGAAUCGUAAAACUCCCUGGAUCUUUUAGUUUUUUGGGUAGCUUAUUCUGAAGAAUAGCUGAGCAAACUGCGUUAAGCUCCACAUGCGACCUUUCAUCUAACUUUCGUUUAUUUUCUAGAAGCUCUUUUAAAAAUUUGACUGCAUUCGGCACCUGCGAAAGUGCUUCAAUAAACGGUAGGUUAAUAUGUAGUUUCUUUAAAAGUUUAAGGAAUUUACAAAAUUGUUCGUCUGAGCGGUCUUUUCUUAUCGUAUUGGGGUAUGACACACGAGGUUUAUAUUCUGUGGUUACAGAUUUUUCUUCGUUUUGGCCUACCUCAUUCUUACCUUCGCUUACCACUGGUUUUGGCCUUGGUUUUGCCACUAACCCUUCCUCAUCUUGAAUGGAAAUUGCGUUGAGUUGCUCCUUUGGGUUAGAUUCAGUGUUGCUUGGCAGGCUACCUUAUGGUUGUUCGGAAAUAAACUUGGUGAGCUAUCCAAUCUGAGUUUCGAGCCCCUGGAUUGAUGUUUGUUGAUUUUUGAGUGCCGUCUCAGUAUUCUGAAAAUGAGUCUCUAACACCGAGAUGAAUUUGAUUAGCAUCUCCUCAAGGUUCAGCUUCUUUUCUUGCUGGCAAGGUUGUUGUUGAAAACCUGGAGGAUGUUGUGGCCUUUGAUUUCCUUGACCACCCCACGAGAAAUUGGGAUGGUUCCUCCAACCUGCAUUAUAAGUGUUACUAUAUGGGUUAUUUUGGGAUCUAGAGUUAUUGUUACCCAUAUAUUAGACUUGUUCCUCCUCGAUGCUAGGGUUGAAGGGUUGAUAUCCUGUGCAUGCUCCUCCUUCAUUCGAAUCGCACCUCAUCACUGGAUGUACCUGAGUAGAACCACACAAACCAUCAAUCUUUUUAUUUAAAAGCUCUACUUGGUUAGAUAGCAUAGUAACCGCGUCGAGGUUGAAAACACCAGCUGCUUUCGUUGGCUUUCUUUUCAUAACUUAUGACUGAUAGUUAUUCAGUGACAUCUCAUCAAUAAAUUCGUAAGCCACCUCAGGUGUCUUAUAAUUGAUAGUUCCUCCAGCGGCUGCAUCAAUCAUCUGCCGAGUUGAUAAACCGUAAUUGAUACAUAUUUUUACCCAUGCUUAACUCAUUUUAUGGAUGAUUUUUCCUUAAAAUUGGUGAAUUCGAUGCUCCUAAUGCCUUAAUUUCAUGUUUUAUACUUAGGUGAGCAUAGGAGAGCAAAAAGAAUGAGAAACGAGCCAAAAAUGGAGAAAAUGGGCCAAAUUACGAAAUCAACACGGCCUGGACCUCCUCACACGGGCAUACCACACGGCCGUGUCAAUCUGGCAGAAUCGAAGCACGACUCACACGGGCGUGUCCCUUCUGAGCCCAAGUUGAGUCCAAUUUAAAAAAACGCCAAUUUUGAGGAUUUUUAGGCAUUCCAAAGCCUACAAAUACACCCUAGAGGACUAGGAAAAGGGAGACACAGAGAGAGAUGAAGGAAUUACUCGAAGAAAGCCGAUUGUUCCAUCUCAGAAGCCGAAUUCAUCAUCAAGACUGAAGAUCUCCCCUCAAUUUCCCUUCAGGAGUUUUGGGUUUUCUUUAUGUUUUGUAUUCGUUAUUCUUCUAAGAUGCUUUCCUCUUUAGUUAUGAACUAAAUCCCCUAAAUACCUAAGGGGAAUGAAACCUAAGACGAAACUUGUUAUUAUUUUUUGAAUUGUAUGAUAAAUAUUUAACUUGUUCUUAAUUAUGUGUUCUUAAUUCUUGUUUUGAUGUCCCAAGAUACCGAUUCGAGAUAAGCUCUUAUUCAGAGGAGGAAUAGACCCCGUCUAAAAGUACAUUUGUCAUAAUUAAGCAGAGCUGUUUGCGCGCCUAGACAUAGGGUGACAAGAUUUUGCCGGAUUAGGGUGAAACCUAAUAAGGGGAUCCAUAGAUCGAGUUAAUGCAACCCUAGGGUGUUAAUUAGAGAAAAAUCUCAAUUAUUCAAUCUAGGGAUUAGACGUUAUUAGUCCUGAAUAGGAAUAAUAACAUAACUUAGGGAUCUGUACGGGACAAGUUAAAUGAAUAAAUCGUCCGAUUCAGAGCCAGAAUAACAAGUAAAGACUAGGUGGAUUUUUCCUUAGGUAUUGUCUUAAUUCAAUCAUUUUCCAAAAGUAAUCCCCUAACUCUACUUUCUGUAGAUUCUUAGUUUAGAUAAUUAGUUAGUUAAAACAAAACCCCCUAUUUUUAGGCUAGAUAAUAAAAAGACAAUCAUUUCUAGUACUUUUAGUUCCUUUGGGUUCGACAAUCCGGUCUUGCUAAAAUUAUACUACUGUUCGAUAGGUACACUUGCCUACAUCGUGAUAAUAGUUAGUUUCAAGAACAAUUAAUUAUAAGUAUUUAAAACCUGUCACACGAAAAUCACGAUCACGAGUCCA
rnacentral:lncRNA from 1 species